UCUCCGUUCUUCUUUGUCUAUCUUCCGCUUUAUUUCAUAGAUUUGAUCCAUCACCUUUAACACUCCAUCAAUUUGAUAGUCUUCUCCCUUCGUUCUUCCCAAGUUUAUCCAAAUUUCUUUCUUUAAAUGGAUAUGCUACCCAAAACAUUCCCUAAUAUUCUAGACCGAUCUAUUUAUUUGUACUGUUAUAGUCACAUGCGCCUGGUAACAUCUACUUCUCUGUUACCUUAUCCGCCCGAAGGGCUUACGAGCGUUCGUGCGUCUGCAAUAUCAGCAUUUAGGAAACUUGGAAGAAAGUCUGUCCUAAAUUUGCUAAAAUGGCAAUGUGCACCACCUCUGUUUUCAGGAAAUCAGCCCCACUUCAGCGCAUUUUUCUCUCUCAAAAGGGCAGCAACUGCAGAAACAGGCCACAGAGACGGAUCCCGCCACUGCAGCUAAAGCAGCUUUUCUAGGCUCGAUGGUAAAUUUCUCCAGGUCCUGCAUGCUCCCUCAACUCCAAAGUCUUCUCUGCCACAAAGCUGCUGUGGUCAAACUUCAGAACUCGUAACUCACUUUUAACCUCUCCACCACAUUUAAUUCUUUUCUUGGGAGCUGUGGACCUUGUUUUAUCUCAUUCAACCUUUUUCCUAAAAAGAAGGAAAAUUUUAUUUA